AUUGAACGCUGGCGGAAUGCUUUACACAUGCAAGUCGAACGGCAGCACGGGGCAACCUGGUGGCGAGUGGCGAACGGGUGAGUAAUACAUCGGAACAUGCCCAAUCGUGGGGGAUAACGUAGCGAAAGUUACGCUAAUACCGCAUACGAUCUACGGAUGAAAGCGGGGGAUCGCAAGACCUCGCGCGAAUGGAGCGGCCGAUGUCAGAUUAGGUAGUUGGUGGGGUAAAGGCUCACCAAGCCAACGAUCUGUAGCUGGUCUGAGAGGAGGACCGGCCACACUGGGACUGAGACACGGCCCAGACUCCUACGGGAGGCAGCAGUGGGGAAUUUUGGACAAUGGGCGCAAGCCUGAUCCAGCCAUUCCGCGUGCAGGAUGAAGGCCUUCGGGUUGUAAGCUGCUUUUGUACGGAACGAAAAGGCUCUGGUUAAUACCUGGGGCUCAUGACGGUACCGUAAGAAUAAGCACCGGCUAACUACGUGCCAGCAGCCGCAGUAAUAC
rnacentral:rRNA from 1 species